rnacentral:lncRNA from 1 species
UGAAUAUCCCCUAUUUUGAUAUCAGAAAAUAAUAACAAAAUCAUACCAAAAAUUUUUAUUGAUGGGUUUUCAUGUUGAUGGAUUCUAUGACUCCACUCAUAGAAUCAUUAGGGAAUUUAUAUAUUUAAAAGGCAGAUAUGCCAGCCACAGCGGCUCACACUGUAAUCCCAGCACUUUGGGAGGCCAGGGCGGGCUGAUCACGAGGUCAAGAGAUCGAGACCAUCCUGGCCAACAUGGUGAACCCCCUUCUCUACUAAAAAUACAAAAAUUAGUUGGGCGUGGUGGCGCACACCUGUAGUCCCAGCUACUCAGGAGAUUGAGGCAGGAGAAUCGCUUGAACCCAGGAGGUGGACAUUGCAGUGAGCCAAGAUUGUACCACUGCACUCCAGCCUGGCAACAGAGUGAGACUCCAUCUCAAAAAAAAAAAAAAAAAAAAGAUAGAUAUGCCAGGC